GACGAACCGAGCGAACGUUGUUCGGAAUCAUUGGGCGUAAAGGGUGCGUAGGCGGCGCGGUAAGUCGGGUGUGAAAUCUUGGAGCUUAACUCCGAAACUGCAUUCGAUACUGCCGUGCUUGAGGACUGGAGAGGAGACUGGAAUUUACGGUGUAGCGGUGAAAUGCGUAGAUAUCGUAAGGAAGACCAGUGGCGAAGGCGGGUCUCUGGACAGUUCCUGACGCUGAGGCACGAAGGCCAGGGGAGCAAACGGG
rnacentral:rRNA from 1 species